AAAAAUAAAGAAAGUCGGGGUAAGAUGAAAUUUUUAGGAGGCUGGGGCUCCAAGCCCAUUGUUUCACAUGUUGUCGAAGGGGCUAACCCCGACACAGGAGAACUGCCAACUGCGGUGGAAACUUUUCAAAAGUUUCACCAUAAAGGCAACGAUUGGCGCAACGAGUUCGCGCAACAAGCUUACGAGCAAAUGGUUGAAAUAGCGGCAACUCAACCAGCGCCCACUGCAGAUGAGCCCGAAGAGC